rnacentral:rRNA from 1 species
UACGUAGGGUGCGAGCGUUAAUCGGAAUUACUGGGCGUAAAGCGUGCGCAGGCGGCUAUUUAAGCUUGCUGUGAAAGCCCCGGGCUUAACCUGGGAAUGGCAGUGAGGACUGGAUGGCUGGAGUGUGGCAGAGGGGGGUGGAAUUCCGCGUGUAGCAGUGAAAUGCGUAGAGAUGCGGAGGAACACCGAUGGCGAAGGCAGCCCCCUGGGCUAGCACUGACGCUCAGGCACGAAAGCGUGGGGAGCAAACAGG